rnacentral:rRNA from 1 species
GAUGAACGCUGGCGGCGCGCCUAACACAUGCAAGUCGAACGGCACCCCUCCUCGGAGGGGAGCGAGUGGCGAACGGCUGAGUAACACGUGGAGAACCUGCCCCCUCCCCCGGGAUAGCCGCCCGAAAGGACGGGUAAUACCGGAUACCCCGGGGUGCCGCAUGGCACCCCGGCUAAAGCCCCGACGGGGGGGGAUGGCUCCGCGGCCCGUCAGGUGGACGGCGGGGUGACGGCCCACCGUGCCGACAGCGGGUGGCCGGGGUGGGAGACCGACCGGCCAGGUUGGGACUGAGACACGGCCCAGACUCCUACGGGAGGCAGCAGUGGGGAAUCUUGCGCAAUGGGGGGAACCCUGACGCAGCGACGCCGCGUGCGGGACGGAGGCCUUCGGGUCGUAAACCGCUUUCAGCAGGGAAGAGUCAAGACUGUACCUGCAGAAGAAGCCCCGGCUAACUACGUG